rnacentral:rRNA from 1 species
AGAGUUUGAUCAUGGCUCAGGAUGAACGCUAGCGGCAGGCUUAACACAUGCAAGUCGAGGGGUAUAAUAGCAAUAUUAGAGACCGGCGCACGGGUGCGUAACGCGUAUGCAAUCUACCUUUUGCAGAGGGAUAGCCCAGAGAAAUUUGGAUUAAUACCUCAUAGUAUUAUGAUGUGGCAUCACAUUAUAAUUAAAGUCACAACGGCAAAAGAUGAGCAUGCGUCCCAUUAGCUAGUUGGUAAGGUAACGGCUUACCAAGGCAACGAUGGGUAGGGGUCCUGAGAGGGAGAUCCCCCACACUGGUACUGAGACACGGACCAGACUCCUACGGGAGGCAGCAGUGAGGAAUAUUGGACAAUGGGCGCAAGCCUGAUCCAGCCAUGCCGCGUGCAGGAUGAAGCAUCUAUGGUGUGUAAACUGCUUUUGCACAGGAAGAAACACUCGGUCGUGACCGAGCUUGACGGUACUGGAGAAUAAGAUCGAUCCGCC